rnacentral:rRNA from 1 species
CCUACGGGAGGCAGCAGUGAGGAAUAUUGGGCAAUGGGCGCAAGCCUGACCCAGCAACGCCGCGUGAAGGAAGAAGGCUCUCGGGUUGUAAACUUCUUUUCUCAAGGACAAAGCAAGUGACGGUACCUGAGGAAUAAGCCACGGCUAACUACGUGCCAGCAGCCACGGUAAUACGGAGGUGGCAAGCGUUAUCCGGAUUUACGGGGUGUAAAGGGCGAGUAGGCGGGACUGCAAGUCAGAUGUGAAAACCACGGGCUCAACCUGUGGCCUGCAUUUGAAACUGUAGUUCUUGAGUACUGGGGAGGCAGACGGAAUUCGUAGUGUAGCGGUGAAAUGCGUAGAUAUUAGGAGGAACACCAGUGGCGAAGGCGGUUUGCUGGACAGCAACUGACGCUGAGGCGCGAAAGCGUGGGGAGCAAACAGGAUUAGAUACCCUAGUAGUC